rnacentral:rRNA from 1 species
UUGCUGGGUGGAUUAGUGGCGACGGGUGAGUAACACGUGAGUAACCUGCCCUUAACUCUGGGAUAAGCCUGGGAAACUGGGUCUAAUACCGGAUAGGAGCGUCCACCGCAUGGUGGGUGUUGGAAAGAUUUAUCGGUUUUGGAUGGACUCGCGGCCUAUCAGCUUGUUGGUGAGGUAAUGGCUCACCAAGGCGACGACGGGUAGCCGGCCUGAGAGGGUGACCGGCCACACUGGGACUGAGACACGGCCCAGACUCCUACGGGAGGCAGCAGUGGGGAAUAUUGCACAAUGGGCGAAAGCCUGAUGCAGCGACGCCGCGUGAGGGAUGACGGCCUUCGGGUUGUAAACCUCUUUCAGUAGGGAAGAAGCGAAAGUGACGGUACCUGCAGAAGAAGCACCGGCUAACUACGUGCCAGCAGCCGCGGUAAUACGUAGGGUGCGAGCGUUAUCCGGAAUUAUUGGGCGUAAAGAGCUCGUAGGCGGUUUGUCGCGUCUGUCGUGAAAGUCCGGGGCUUAACCCCGGAUCUGCGGUGGGUACGGGCAGACUAGAGUGCAGUAGGGGAGACUGGAAUUCCUGGUGUAGCGGUGGAAUGCGCAGAUAUCAGGAGGAACACCGAUGGCGAAGGCAGGUCUCUGGGCUGUAACUGACGCUGAGGAGCGAAAGCAUGGGGAGCGAACAGGAUUAGAUACCCUGGUAGUCCAUGCCGUAAACGUUGGGCACUAGGUGUGGGGACCAUUCCACGGUUUCCGCGCCGCAGCUAACGCAUUAAGUGCCCCGCCUGGGGAGUACGGCCGCAAGGCUAAAACUCAAAGGAAUUGACGGGGGCCCGCACAAGCGGCGGAGCAUGCGGAUUAAUUCGAUGCAACGCGAAGAACCUUACCAAGGCUUGACAUGUUCUCGAUCGCCGUAGAGAUACGGUUUCCCCUUUGGGGGCGGGUUCACAGGGUGGUGCAUGGUUGUCGUCAGCUCGUGUCKUGAGAUGUUGGGUUAAGUCCCGCAACGAGCGCAACCCUCGUUCCAUGUUGCCAGCACGUCGUGGUGGGGACUCAUGGGAGACUGCCGGGGUCAACUCGGAGGAAGGUGAGGACGACGUCAAAUCAUCAUGCCCCUUAUGUCUUGGGCUUCACGCAUGCUACAAUGGCCGGUACAAUGGGUUGCGAUACUGUGAGGUGGAGCUAAUCCCAAAAAGCCGGUCUCAGUUCGGAUUGGGGUCUGCAACUCGACCCCAUGA